CUAAUUUGAAUUUGGGGAAUACUGGGCGUGGUACAUGUUUAAUCUUACUAUAGUUAAAUGGGGAGCAUACUGACAGGUUUAAUUUUAUUUUUAUGCUUAUUAUGUGGUGACUGGUUAGGAAGUGCUGGCCUGCUGCCAUAUGAGGUAACUCUCACGUCGACAGGUUUUAUUUGCCCACAGGCAAUUAGUUCAGGCAUUUAAAGGGUUAAUCGAACCAUCAUGACUACUUCUGAUUUUUGAAGUAAUCAUGUGGUAGGAGUCUGGAUGCGCAAUGUUUCAGCUUGAAACUCUGUACAUCCAGAGUUAUUUUUAGUUGUGUGGUCGGAGCUAGUUACACCGCUCAGCACACGUGACCUAGGGAGACCGGAAUUCUUCUAUGGGCUACCUAAUGUCAAUUCUGUGCUUUUUAAAUCGUUAUUAUUUUUGAUUGGACCUCCUCGUAUCUCCCAUGACUUUAGAUGGGAUUGUGCCGACUAGUUUGGGAGCUUUGCCCAGCACUACUGUGAACAAUGUCUGGAUAUUGCAGUCCUAUGCCCCAUGUGGUACUGGAUAUCUGGAUAGUUUUGCACCAUUUAGCAAGGGACAAUCAAACACAAAUGGAUAACCUCUUAAAAUUCACCCAGUUGACAGGUGACUGUCAUUGUUAUGGCAAUCACUUGUUACCUAGAGAGACAUAUUACCCUAAAUAUGAGGAAAUAUAUUGCCCCCUCUUUCCUAUGAGGGGUACUGUUUGUGUGUCAUAUGUUGUUAUUAGGGAAUAGGGCUUUCGUUAGAGCCCUAUUCUCCUAAAUAGUUAAAGUAGAUUGAGUAAGUGAUGGCUAAUUGUAUGGCUAUCACUGACGUGUGAAAUGGGUGUUAAAUCCCACACUCGAAAGUGGAGUACCCCCUCUUUCAAUAACGAUUUUUAGCAGAUUCCCAAUUUUGCAGUGAACAUCUGCAACUUAGGGGAACAAGUGACUCCUCA